rnacentral:rRNA from 1 species
UACGUAGGGACCAAGCGUUGUUCGGAUUUACUGGGCGUAAAGGGCGCGUAGGCGGCAAUUCAAGUCAGUUGUGAAAUCUCCGAGCUUAACUCGGAACGGUCAACUGAUACUGUUUUGCUAGAGUACAGAAGGGGCAAUCGGAAUUCUUGGUGUAGCGGUGAAAUGCGUAGAUAUCAAGAGGAACACCAGAGGCGAAGGCGGAUUGCUGGGCUGAUACUGACGCUGAGGCGCGAAAGCUAGGGUAGCAAACGGG